ensembl:lncRNA
AUGCUGGGUAAUGGACUAGUCCUCCAGAACCUCUUGCAUAUGCAGCUCGCACAGCAGCAGCUUCUUCACAUCAAAGACAAACGCAUCAGCAGUGUCUCCAGUCUGCUCGGGGACCCGUCCAGGCUGCUGAUGCAGAAAGCUUUGUCUCUGCGGCAUCCGGGCCUGAUGCAGCUCGGCAAAGGCCUCCUGGGAGAUUCGCCUCCCGAGUUGGGACACGAGGCGGUGCCCCAGCCCUCUACCCACAAUGCCACAGCAGUGGUAUCUGCGGCAGGUGUGGUGCCGUACCUCCACGGUCGAGGUGGAGCCGGAGAACCAAACAGCACCCACUCUCUCUCCACAAACCAUUCGGCCUCCUCCUCUGCCUCCUGUGACAGGCAGCCGGCUCCUCCAGGCACCUUAAUGAGCUCCCAUCCGCAGGGACAGGGCUACUCCCUGGGCAUCAGUAAUUCAGGCCUCGGGCCGCCUCCACCUAAACCCCCCGGAGGAAUUUAUACGUCACUGGGCCAUCAUAACAGCAGCGAUGGAUGCCCCCUGGCUAGCAUGGUGAGCUCCACACACACACACACACACACACACACACACACACACACACACACACACNNNNNNNNNNUUGUGACUAAUAGAACUCUCCUGUUUAUGGAAAGCUGUCCACAAGGUUGCACAUUUGAUGAUUAUGUUUUUUUUUAG